rnacentral:tRNA from 1 species
CAGGAAAUAGUUUAAGAAGAGANCAGUAGCUUUGGGAGUUACCGGUGUAAGUGUAANCCCUACUUUCCUGA